rnacentral:rRNA from 1 species
GUCUCCAGCCAUACCACCCUGAAUGCGCCUGAUCUCAUCUGAUCUCAGAAGUGAAGCAGGGUCGGGCCUGGUUAGUACUUGGAUGGGAGAAAUCUUCAGAUUCAGAAGUAU